ACAAAAUGAAAAUUUCGGUCAAAUUUACUCGACAUUUCUUUUUUUUAAAUAGUUGUAAUUGAACAAAAAAAAAAGUUAUCCACGGCAAGACCUUGUAAAUUAUAUCUCAAAGACCUGUGUAAAAUUUCAUUAAGAUCGGUUGAGUAGUUCGCAAGAAAUCUUGACAACCGACUUUGAAAGCACAGUUUCGAGCGCGCAAAUUUUCAAAGCUGUAUCUCCAAAACUAUUACUGAUAUCAACUUGAGAAUUUGGGACAAUAUUCUUGAGAUGUUAUAGAAUUAAAUAAGGCAAUAAAAAUAAUUUUUUUUUUGAAGCCGCGAAACCCGUGUACCCGCUUAAAACCCUUUGAUGAGCUUACACUUCAAAUGCAAGCAUAUGGUCACAUAGUGAAACAGAAAAAUUAAAAAGAUAUUUUCGCCAAAGUGAUUUAUUUUCACUUCAAUUUAUGCACGAGUGAUGAAGCGAAAGAAUGCAUAAUGGUUAGGCGGUAAAUACAACAAACUCUGAAAGCGGAUUUAUCAGUUGGACGAUUUUGGAACGCCGCUUGGUGUAUCUUUAUUAAAUCCAAUAACGAAAGCACAAAAAGCUCUUUUGGCAAUUUCGCCAAACCAAAACGCUUAAGCGAUCCGAUUGUAAUUGUGGAAAGCUGGCAGACAGAUGAACAGACAUACAUAUGGUUGUAAUCAUGAAGUACUCCUUGUUUUUCUACAUGUUUGUAUGUGUGCAUGUCCAUGUGAAUAAAGCGACCAGCGCGCUUGGAUUGGCUUAUAUGGGCUCAAUGCAAAUGCAAGUGGACAUUGAAAUGUUGAAUAGGCACUGGAGUUGUUGUUGCUGCUUUAAGUGUGCAGCAAACGCAUCCCAAUCGCAAUAAAAUGCUCACAGUAAUGCAAGCAUACAUCCACACACAGUCAACCGGGAUGGAUGUCGUGUGUGAUUACAUUGGAAUUUAUGUGCAUUUGCAGUUUCUUUCAGCAUCACAGGCUCCAACUUCAAUUGCAACUCAGCAGUUGCUGUCGCUCGGAUGUGCAGCCGCAGUUUGAUUUCUUCAACGCUCUCGUUGCGCUUUUGCACUGCCCACAAUACCCAGAACUUCAGUUGGAUGUACAUCUUGCACAUGGACUCACCCGCUAGACCAUACCGCAGACCGUUUGGUAGGGCAGACUGCCCGUUGCGCUGGCAUCUGGCCGCCGGCUGCUUCUUGCUGACUGGGCGAGCAUAUGAUGUCUCAGCGCGUCGUGUGAAGUGCUGUGCAGUGGUUGAUUUGGACUCGAAUACACAUACAUACAGCUUGAAAACUGCAAGCAAAUGCUGCUGUGGCCGCUGCUUGGUUUGUGGUCCGCAUUACGUCCUUGUCGGCAUCGCGUCUUCGCCGCCUGUGACAUUUUGACAGCGUAGAAGUUAUGGACAGGAUGUCUGAAUCCGUAUGAAUAAACUCGUGUGCAUUUUGCAUAUGCGAGCGAAUUUGUGUGCGCAGUAAUAUGUGGCUCCUCAGAGCUUUUUGUCUGCUAUCGGUCUGUAUGCCUCUUCGCCUGUCUGCGCUGCUAUACUUCUACCUUCCAGCGUGUCUGUCCGCAUUUUGCUGUUGGUUGUUGGUCGUUGCUGGCCACUGCUGCUCAAUGAUGAGCUGUAGUACUUUGCGUUAAGCUGUUGUUGCCAAAAAAGAAAUACAUAAGCUAACCGCACCAUCCAAAAACCAAACCAGUCCAGACGUACCGCAAAAGCCAAACGAAUCAACCGCCCAAUCGCAGUCGAUUUUUUCCAUUCUCAACGGAUAUACCCUAGUCCAGACGUGUUUUACGACCUUAUGGUCAGUGCGCUGUAAGAAAUGUGAUUAUUUAAAAUGAAGCGAGAGAAGUGUAACCUCUUCAAGUGCUGUGAAGCGCUUGCGAUAAUUUAGUACUUUUAGUCGCUUUUUUCAUGCUUUAUAUUUGGAACACGAGAUGGAAAUCAUGCAUGUUAACAUAAGCUCUGAGCACAUAUUAAAAUUCGAAUCCAAAGCAUGUGCAGUCUUUCUUAUCAUUGCAAAAACGUUGACAUAUUGUUCCAGGAAGGUCUUAAAAACCGUUACAUUUAUUUAAGUAAAUAAAUUUAAAAUACAAUACGAAAACUAUUGGGGGACUGGAAAAAUACUUACUACAGUAAAAGCUGAGAACAUUUUCUUCAAAAUUUUUAUAAAAUAUGCAUAUUCUUUUUAGCUAUCUUUAGAAGCUUUCAUAGAUAUUUCUCUUUAAUUAAAGUCAAAAUUUAUUAGUUAAGACCACAAACACC